GGUAAUUUUCUGACAAGGUUAGUAGUAGCUGGAUCUGGAUUCCUUUCUGAUCCAGUUUCACUGUUUCCACCUGGGCUGAUCCUGGUGCCUCUCAGGAUCUUUGUGGAGGUUGAGAAACUACCACUAAGAAAUUAGUAUCUAAAACAACUACAGUGGAAUCCAAAUAUUCUGCAUUUUGAGGCCUUGCUUUGGGAAUCAAGACUCUGCCCUCAUGCAACCGUGGAUAGCUCUUGAAGCAUACUGGUUUUAUCACUAGAGAGCUGGAUUAUCCAGAGCCCGAAGAGACUCUAGGAUAAACACUUGAAACAGGAUCAGAACUAAAGAUUUCUUUGGUGUUGUCUCCAGAGGCGAACUUGCCAACAUAUUGGAACGUUAAGAUUGUCAAUAAUUCAAGAUAGGUGUAUCUUAUUUGUAGAAAAACCAUGGUUCCUGUGGUAGCACAUGGUUUUGUCCAAAUAUGGACCAGGAAGAAUGGGAUGCUUAAGCCGAAGAAAGCAACUGUUGAAGCAGCGGGAAAAAAGAAGAAAACUAGAUUGGUGGUCUAUUUCGGUAAUGGAGAAAGCACAACUUUUGAACUAAAUAAUAAUAUUAAAAGCGUGAUCAUGAGAUCCUAUGGAGAAAAAGUGAAUCACCUGCAUUUAACUUUCCAAGAUAAUAGCUUCUUGUUUAUGGAAAGAACAUCCUCUACAGAUGUCAAAAAAUUGAAGGCAUUCCUGGAUAGAGUGCAUCAAGAUGAUCUUCCACCACCCAUAAGACCUGAUGUGGAUAGCAGUGCCUUUGCCAGCACAACAGUACAGAAGACAGUUGAUGAGACUUCAUUUCAAAAAGUGGGUAAGAAGUCAGGUAGUCGGUCUUUUAAGAAAGAAAAAAAGCGUUCACCUUCAUCCGCAUCAGAAUCACCAACAUCUACCUAUGAACAGUUAUUAGAAGAUGGAUAUGGGAAGAGAAUGAAGAAGCCCUCAUUGGAUUCCCAAAAAGAGAGUAGCUCAGUGAGAAAGAGGAGAUCCAAGACACACCCAUUAAGAUAUGUAAGCCACAGUGAGAAGAAGGAACUGCAGUUAAAAGGGUUAAAACAGGAGACUAAAUUAGAUUUAGACUUUUUAUUUAAGAUCAGUCCUUACCUACAUGGCACUAAUCUUUUCCCAAAACUAUCUGAGAAUAUAUAUUUCACAUUUCUGCCAGAAGCAAAGUAUGAUAAGAAUGACCCGCUUUCGGACAGACUCAAACUGACUCUUGACUA